AGUUCGCUUCGCUCGUGUGCAGUGGAAAUCCUUUUGUGCCGGGUUUCGGCGCAAAAGAUUGAAGCGAAUAGCGGGAAUAGCU
rfam:Flavobacterium sp. ov086 genome assembly, contig: Ga0070134_134